UCUAAGGAUAGUGUGUCAUAUCACAGGGGGAGGUUAUGGACAACAGUAGCAUGGUCUGCUAUCCUGAUAAAUCUUAGAAGGUACCAAGAAGGACUCAUCAAAUAUUACCUGGGAGACAUGGCCUUGAAAGCAUAACCUGUGAACAUAAUCCGUCUGAGACAGCACUUAACUCCAGGUGCUUGUGACCUGUUCAAGAGGUCCAACUUGCAUAAUGUCUUCAAAUGUAACAGAAUGAUGUUUUCUGGGAUUUUAACAUGGUAAAGACUCUUCUGGACUAUAUUAUGACAGAGACCAGGAGAAUUGACAUAGUCCUAAGCACCAUCUUGUCCUUUAAGAAGUUAUACCCACUGGUUCUAGGCAUAUGGAGAAGUUACCAGUCAAUGCUC